AAGGAGCAACCGCCUCGCAUGAGGCGAACUCUCGAAAGAAAAGUCGAAGCCUGGCAUCCUCUUCGGUUGAAACCGGCUAUUUGAGAACUCCAGAGCGAGCACGAGUAUCUAUAAA
rnacentral:misc_RNA from 1 species